AUUGACUUUUGCAGUGGAGGAUGGUACUACCAUCAGUUUUUGGGAUGAUUGUUGGUGUGGAGAAGAACCGCUGAAGGUGAAAUUUCCCUCUUUAUCUCGUAUUGCGUUGACACAGUCUGCUACGGUGAGUGAUGUCUUAGAUAUACAUAAUGGGAGGAUCAGUUGGAAUAUUGUUUUUGGGUGGGGAUUACCGGAUUGAGAAUUGGACGAUUAUGUGCUGUUUUUGACUUCUUUGUACGAGGUCUACAUCAGGACAAGAGAGGCAGAUUGUAGUAGGUGGAGAUUAACACGGGAUGGGAUUUUCUCAGUUGGCACUUGUUUUAGAUCUUUAUUGGGUCCUGUGCAGAGUUCAUUCCCCUGAAAAUCGGUGUGAAAAUGUAAAUUGCCUCCACGGGUUGUAUUCUUAUUUUGGACGGUAGUCAGGGGACAGGUGUUAACGAUGGAUAAUCUACAAAAAGUUUUUAUGUUAUAGAGUGGUGUUAUAUACGUCGGAGAGACGGGGAGACGAUUGAUCACUUGUUUCUCCAUUGUGAUGCUGCUCGUUUACUGUGGCAAAAUAUUUUGGCAUCACAACACAUGGAUUGAGUGAUGCCGAGGCGUAUGGAAGACGUGUUAAAGGCAUGGAGGAGAAAAUAUCGCGACAAGGAUUGCAAGUUUGCAUGAGACCUUAUUCCGGGUUGCAU
rnacentral:lncRNA from 1 species